GAUGAACGCUGGCGGCGUGCCUAAUACAUGCAAGUCGAGCGAACAGAUGAGGAGCUUGCUCCUCUGACGUUAGCGGCGGACGGGUGAGUAACACGUGGAUAACCUACCUAUAAGACUGGGAUAACUUCGGGAAACCGGAGCUAAUACCGGAUAAUAUAUUGAACCGCAUGGUUCAAUAGUGAAAGACGGUUUUGCUGUCACUUAUAGAUGGAUCCGCGCCGCAUUAGCUAGUUGGUAAGGUAACGGCUUACCAAGGCAACGAUGCGUAGCCGACCUGAGAGGGUGAUCGGCCACACUGGAACUGAGACACGGUCCAGACUCCUACGGGAGGCAGCAGUAGGGAAUCUUCCGCAAAGGGCGAAAGCCUGACGGAGCAACGCCGCGUGAGUGAUGAAGGUCUUCGGAUCGUAAAACUCUGUUAUUAGGGAAGAACAAAUGUGUAAGUAGCUAUGCACGUCUUGACGGUACCUAAUCAGAAAGCCACGGCUAACUACGUG
rnacentral:rRNA from 1 species